AGCACAAUUGCUGGAUUGUAUGGUAAGAGUAUGCCUAGUUUUGUAAGAAACUGCCAAACUGUCUUCCAAAGUAACUGUACCAUUUUGUAUUCCCACCAGCAAU
rnacentral:pre_miRNA from 1 species